CACCUAACUUUAUUUGUUAAUGUGUUGAAGGUGACAUUAGUAAAAUUUUAUUACGAUUGUCCCCGAGUUGUAACACAUACCGGAUGUUGCUAUUUUUAGAACCAGAAGAUAUUCCCCGCUAUUCAUAGGUCAAUAAUGGAAUUUCUACAUCGUAGCAGUUGGAAACUCGGGUGAUGAUUUUAUCAUGAAUAUACGUUUAAAAUAAGUAAACACUCAAAGUGGACACUGACAGUUGAUUACGAUACACCUAAAAAUUUGAGUCAUUACAGUAAAACAUGGAUUAUAAGUGAAUUAUACGCGUAAGAGAAGAUUUUCUGUCGAAAAAACGAAUGUCAACAAUCGGCAUGGAACUGGGAUAUUCGUAUCAAAGGGCUAUGUAUGUAGGAAAAUGACUGAAUAUUGCUAAGUCAACAAAUUGGGAUUAUGAAGAAUUCCAGCCUGCAUUAAAUAUGUUAGAUCAUUGAGACAGAUUUGACAUCCAUGUCAUCCACAAUGCAGUCACAUCUGAUAGAGAUGAUCACUAAACAUUCUAGAUGGGUAAAGAACCUGAAGGGGCAUAACAACCAAAUCAGCAUUGACUCAGCAUUGAGUAUUUAUCAUCUGUGCACACACUACAAUAGUCUGGAGUUCCUUCCCCUAACACUAUCGUUAUCGUACUGUAUGAAAUAUCAGUAAGCAGGGAACCAGACUAACACUACAAGUACAAACGCAUGGGAACAGACCAAACUUCAAAUGUUGUGAAGACUUAUUGUGAAAAAUUCUAAAUGUAAGAAUACCAUUGACAAAAUAAAACAAAUAGACAUCGAUUACCUACAGAGACUGUUUACAUGUUAUAAUAUUAAAAAGACAAAUUAGUUGAGAACUUUCACUCUGACAUUUUUGGAGGGGCAUUACCGCCUACAUGUACAUAGUGUUCUUGUUUCUUUACAUAUUUUAAUUUGAAAGUACAUUCAUUGUUUUUAAAUCUGAAUUCUGAGUAAGUAUCAUAUGUAAAAUUCAUUUAUUUGAAUGAUUACAUUUUAUGAAUAAGUCCAAUAAAGCUUUAUCAAUUUUUACAAGAAAAGGGUUGAUUUUUAAGCGUUCCAUUAGCUAUAAAAAUGUAUGGUUACAUGACAUUAUGUAUAUUUUCUUCAAAAUUGAACGGUAAACUAUCAUAAAUUGUCUUUUAAAUUGUUCAUUAGACAUCAUAGAAAAUAUUUAAAAUGAUUUCAGCAGGUUGUCUUAUUAUUAAUUAUUUUUUAUGAAUUUAUAAAACUGCUUUAUAUUUUCAAACAUCGAAAUACUGCUCUGUUCAGAAGACUCACAAGAUCAAUCCAAAUGAUUUGUUUGCAUGUGUAUCAAUAAUGCUGUUCGGUUGAACUUAUGUUUUCUGUUAACUGAAGUUUAUUUCACCAGAAACUGUUGUGUUUAUUUCAUAAGCUCUGAUAAUGUGAAACAAAAAUCAAAUAUAGACAAAAUAUUUACUUUUCGCUCUUUGUAGCCCUUGGAGUUUGGGUUUGGGUGUAAUGAAACUUAAAUAACUUUAAUUCACGGUAAAAUAUCUUCAAAAUUUGGAUAAAAGUCCCAUAGUGUACCUUGAUAAUAUUAUGUUGUCGGUGAAAGUUUUUAUUAAAGUGUGUAUAACUUAAAUACCUUAAUUCAGUUUAAAUAAUUAUGGCCUUUAAUAAUUUUUGUUUUCAAAUAGAUUUCCUGUUAUAUUGAGCUUUGUCAAUUUUGUUGUUGUUUUGUAUUAUGUACAAUUACUACUUCUAUUUCCUAACUUAAAUUUUUUGUCUCAUUUGUCAAAUUGAAUUGGUACAUAUUUCAUAUAAAGUGAAAAAAACACACACUAUUUUUAAAGAUGCACUCUUACUCCCAAACAAGACUUAUCACAAUUAAUAUUAUUGUUUUGAUUUUUCAAAAUGGGUUGAUAGAUGUCAACAACAAUGUUUCUAAUGAAGGAUUUUGAGUUCAAUUUGCUAAUAAGAAUGAACAUAAAACAUGGUGUUUCUGCCUUGUGAUACUAUAGAAGACCACAGUAAAUCUUUUAGCAAUCACCAAUCAUUUACUAUUUGUCAUGCUUUCUGCUAUUAUAAACAGAGUCACAAGCUUGUUAUAAAUCAGUAAACAAUAUUUCAGUA